AAAUAAAAAAGAAGAAGAAAAAAGGGGGGUGUGGGCUAGUAGUCGUAGGUAGUAGUAUUUUUUCCCGGCUUUUUUUUUCUUCUUCUUCUUCUUCCUGCCCCAAGAAAAGAAAAGAAGAAAAUGAAGUGUCUAGUUAUUGAAAG
rnacentral:ribozyme from 1 species